GCGCCUGUAGCUCAACGGAUAGAGCAUUGGCCUCCGAAGCCAGUUGUGCAGGUUCGAUUCCCGCCAGGCGCA
rnacentral:tRNA from 1 species